rnacentral:lncRNA from 1 species
ACUUUAUUUUCAACAAAGAGAGAGAAAGUUCUCCCCUUUCCUUCUUAUCUCAUCAAAAUCUUUCAGAAGGAGGGGAGUUCGUCAGUUUUUGUAUAUCACCAGGUUCUUUUUCCGGUGGUUGUGGUUGAUCGCUCGUUGAUUGAGCUUUAUCUCCGGCUUCGGUUCAUCCGACCGGUUUUGCUUCCGGCGUCGCACUUGUCCAUCGGUGGUCGGCCGGCUUUCGACUUCGGCGUUCUCACCUUCUUCUCCGGUGACGGACGGCUGACUCUUGUCUCCGCGUCUCACUUUGUUUGGUGUUGACUGCGGCGGUUCACCGGGAUUUCCCGGUUAAGAUCGAUCUACGGUUCAUGCAUCUCUUCCGACCAAUCGACUCUCCGUUCUCACCUUCGUUGUUCCUUUCCUCUCCUCUGUCGAGGCCGUAUCAUCUUUGAGGUUUCUCUUAUCUUUAAAGAUGUCUGAAGUUCUUGUUGGAAAGUCGAAGGUUCUCGGAUCGAUUGAAGUCAAUUGGGUUUCUUCUCCGAAUCGUAGAUCUAGCGGACGAGUUGGGUUUCAGUGAAAGAUGUUUCUGGUUGAACAUCCGUUCCACCGAUUUGUCUCCGUUGACGGCGGUGGUCCGUCUUGCCGCUUCUCUUUUGCCGGCGGAAGUGAUUCGAUCGGGUCUUGACGCGUGUCCAUUGACUGCAGGGCAGUCGAACACGUGGUGGGCUUAGGUGUUUACUUCCUCUACGGGUUUCCUCUAUGGGCCUACGGUCUGUAGUUGUACUGUAAAGUUGGGUAUUUUGUUUGGGUCUUCGUUUUACUGUGUUGGGCUUUGUCCAUUUGGACUCUGUUCCUUUAAUAAAAUCUCAGAUGACAAAAAAAAACUUUAUUUUCUUCUGAUCUAGUCUAGACCCUAUUACGAUGGAAUCAAGUUUAAACACAAAAACAUGGCUCAAGCGAUCAAUCGUAUUCAUAUGAUUAAACAUUUUUUGCAUAAAUAAAGUUGGGUAUGUGCACACAUGGUGAAUGUGUAUGUAUGUUACGGCAGUGUAGAAAAGACAAGAUGUUGAUUUUUUAAAAAGGACCACCU